rnacentral:rRNA from 1 species
UACGUAGGGGGCAAGCGUUGUCCGGAUUUAUUGGGCGUAAAGAGCGUGUAGGCGGCCACACAGGUCCGCUGUGAAAACUCGAGGCUCAACCUCGAGCUGUCGGUGGAAACCGUGUGGCUAGAGUCCGGAAGAGGAGAGUGGAAUUCCCGGUGUAGCGGUGAAAUGCGCAGAUAUCGGGAGGAACACCAAUUGCGAAGGCAGCUCGCUGGGACGUAACUGACGCUGAGACGCGAAAGCGUGGGGAGCAAACAGG